GGUGGUGGUUAUUUAAUGGGUAUUUGAUGGAGGACCACGCGUUGCAUUUGGCGGUAAACUUUAACCCCUAAGGUCCCAGGGCGCUGAAACAAUCUGGGCAGGAGAGAAGGUCACGGACAUCUUCUGCGGUCUAAAAACGCGGAAAGGCUGCGAAGUCGCUUUCAGGCGCUGAGCGGAGGUCUGCGGGAAAUGUGGUUUCGGACGCGUCUCCUGGGCUCCGUCUGUCUUUUCCCCUACCUUCUUCCUGCGCGGUGGGGUGCAGAGGAUCUCAGAGGCUCCUGGUUCCCCACAGAUGUAGAGGGUCCGCGCCCCAGGGGAGAGCGCGGGGGUGAUGGGGCGUCUGCGCGGCGGGGACCAGCGUGGAGUGCUCGGCUUGUGCCUGGGGAGGAGGGAGCGAGAAGUCUCGGGAGCCCCCCAACAUCUGGCGGGACUCCCCAGCGCUGGAGCCCAGCCCGGGCCUGUACAACUGCCCUUGCGGGCUCCUGAAGGCGUGAGCCGGGCCCACCCUGCAGCCCAACCAGAGAAAAGCCCAUGCUGGCGGCGGUAGGGGUAAGAGCGUUUCUGAUGCCGGCAACGAACGUGCCAGACGCCAGAGUGCUUGGAUCCGCGGCG
rnacentral:lncRNA from 1 species